GUUCGCGUAACUCAGUGGUAGAGUGUGAGAUUGCAAUGAAAUUUGUGUCUAAGUAUCUUGAAGUCGCGUGUUCGACCCACGCCGCGAACU